rnacentral:rRNA from 1 species
AUUGAACGCUGGCGGCAGGCCUAACACAUGCAAGUCGAGCGAGAGGCGAACGGGUGAGUACUGUCUGGGAAACUGCCCGAUGGAGAGGGAUAACUCCUGGAAACAGUAGCUAAUACCGCAUACCAUCAGAUAUGCCCCGAUGGGAUUUGCUAGUAGGUGGGGUAACUGCUCACCUAGGCGACGCUCCCUAGCUGGGCUGAGAGGAUGACCAGCCACACUGGAACGGAGCGACGGCCCAGACACCUACGGGAGGCAGCAGUGGGGAAUAUUGCACAAUGGGCGCAAGCCUGAUGCAGCCAUGCCGCGUGUAUGAAGAAGGCCUUCGGGUUGUAAAGCACUUUCAGCGGGGAGGCGUUACCCGAAGAAGAAGCACCGGCUAACUCCGUGCCAGCCGCCGCGGUAAUAC